rnacentral:misc_RNA from 1 species
UUUCAUUUCCUCAAAGUGAUCUAACGAAAUGAUUUAUUGGCAUGAACUGUUAGCAAUGUCUACGGUUCGAAUAGCGCUAGCAUGCGAAUGUUUGUUUGAUAUAUUUUUAGACAGCGUCAGAGCUAGUGCUCCUAUCUCGUUGAUCGGUCAGUAAACACAAAAAUCUUUCUCAGUCUGGUUAGUUAGCUCGUGGCUUGUCCUUGUCGGUUGAAACGUUCUGAUAAUUGAUCACGGUAUUGCCAAUUUUAACUUUCAUUACCUAAAACGUUUUCAGGUAGCGUGAAAUGUGCAAGAUAUUGAUGUCUUCAAUUUGUGAGUCCACAUAUCUGAGGCUUCGGAAAUGGAUCGGAAAGUGAGAGCACAGGCACAAAGCCUUUGUCGACUGCGUGGCAGACAGCGCUCAGUGCCACAGCGAUGAGUGUGGCUGCUGCAGCCGCAGCCACAGCUGCAACCAACCAGACCGCCGCGACGCCGGUCGCUGCCCGCAGGCCGGUGCGGCGUGCCACUAAGCCGCAAGCUGAUCGGCCGCAGCGGGCAUUGCUCUGUCUCACACUCAAAAAUCCGCUGCGAAAACUCUGCAUAGACGUUGUCGAAUGGAAGUAUCCUUUUCAAAUAAUCAAUUGAUAGUAACUAAUACAACUUUGGAUCAAAAUUUGGAUAAAUUAUUUGUUCCAAUCAUUAAAUUGGAAUUCAUUGAUUAAUAGCAAUGAGAAAAUCAUAAUUGAUUUUCUGAAAAGUAUGUGGGAGUUUUCGGUGAUCUCAUGUGUUUAUUGAAUUCAACCAACCAUGGAAUGAAAUCUAUCAAAUACUACUUUUCUUUUCAAUCACAACAAUUUGAAUCAAUGAGAAAAUCAUAAUUGAUUUUCUGAAAAGUAUGUGGGAGUUUUCGGUGAUCUCAUGUGUUUAUUGAAUUCAACCAACCAUGGAAUGAAAUCUAUCAAAUACUACUUUUCUUUUCAAUCACAACAAUUUGAAUCAAGGAACUACAGGUAUCUUUUUGUUGGUUCUGAUAAAUGUUCGUAGAGUUCAUCAAGAAAUUGCUAUUCCUGGAUAGAAUUCUUGUGAAAGUCCAGAAACUUUAUACAGUGUAAAUUAUCCAGCCAUUAUUAUAACUUCAAAUUAUUAUAAUAACAAAUCUUUAUAGGCCUGGAUUUUGAAUUUAUAGUCUCGGAGGCUGAUAUGUGAGUUUGAAAAACAUCAAGCAGGUUUGCUGUCGUAGAAAACUACAAUUGCACAAGUUGCACAAGAAUACAGUUGAAUUCAAGCGCCGUGAAAUCACGUCUCUACAUUAGCAUCAAAUUCUUUAAUUGCUUCCCGUUACAUUGGCUCCAUUACAAUCGAUGACAUAUUUUUUAGGCGGUUAAAUGUGAUUGGAUUCACGUGCAACUUGCCGUUUCUCUCUUUAUACACUCUAAUCUUUCUUUUCUGGAUAUGACGCCGUAUGGCUUGUUCUUGGAUAAGAAAUGUGAUGAAUCUGGAAGAUAAAUGGUUUUGAAUUACCUUAAAAUGAUUUUGGAGUUUGCAACUGUCCAGUAUUGGUAGCAAUAACCACCAUAGACUGCUCUAGACAAUUAUUUGUCUAUU